CGCGCUGCGGCCUCGGAGUAACUGCUGUUCGUAAAGGCUGCCUCCGUCCUGCCGCGUGGCCUUUAGAGGGUUGGAGCUGGCGGAACCGUAACUCCCUCUCUGAGGGUGAAUACGGGCCUUGAUUGCCAGAAGGGCCUCAGACGGGGACGCGGGAUGAUGCGGGGCCGGGGGGUGCUUUCCUGGAGGCUGGGAAACCUGGAGGGAGGCCCCCAAAACUUCUCAGUUCGCCAACCCCUUGGUCCCAGAGGGAGAGGAGCAUCCCCAAAGAACAUUCCAGUCUGAGCCUCAAGGAACCUCUGGGACUUGGUGUCUAGAUCCAGGAAAUGAAGAAUGAGCCAUGACUUUGGAUGCUUCACCCUUGCCCAUCAGGCUCGGAAUUGGCCUGUUGAAGUAGGAGGCAAGACUCAACUUCAGACCAGAAUGAAGACUGGCUGACACAGAAGAGGCACCAGAAGCACCUCUCUCUCCAUAAGACAUGCCCACCUGUGCCAUGACAGUUUACCAUUGCUAUGGCAAUGCCCAGAAGUUCUCACCUCUUUUCCAGUCAUUUCUGCAUAAUCUACCCCUCAAUUGGCAUGUGAUCAAGAGUGGGUGUCAAAAUGACUGUGGAACUGUCCCUGAGCUGCUACUCUUGACAUGCUGGUUACAGGGUAGCCCGGCUCUGCAGGGACAGUCACGGAGCUGAAAAACUGCUGCCUAAUGAAGCUGUUUUCUUCUACCACUGGCUCACCCUCAAAUUAUUUCCUGAGCGAACUCAAGAACCUUCCUGGGCUAAGCCCCAAUUUUGGGGCUCGCCUGCCCUUGCAUCACAGCUUCCUCUUCUGUUCACAGCUGCAACCGCCUACUCAACCUUCUGAGGUUCCUCUCCCUGCCCCUCCACAGUGGCUGCUGAUGGGAGCUCUGGCUCCCUGUGUUUUCACUAUCUCCCAGUCAAGUGCAGAGUCCUGUGCAAUUUAAAUGCUUCUCAGCUAAGAACAGAGAAGGGGAUAGCAUAAGGAUAUUCAAAAGAUUCAAGAAAUCUCAAAAGUGAUCACAAAACAUUUGUCUUUGACCAACCAGAAACAUCGAUGGGUGAGAAGGGCAUUUCCUCUAGCUGAAUUCUUCAUGGGUCUUCAGGCUCUGUCUUCACUUUGGAUUUUCUGGAGUCUCCUGAAGGUUACCUGAAAUCUUGUUGGUCCUGAAUAUUGUAUGUGGAGUCACAAGCUGCAAGAAGUCAGUGGGGCUGGAUGGGAGCCAAAAUCAGAGAAGUCAAGCAGCACAGCUGGGCCCCAUUGAAAGUGAGGCCAGCUGUCCCAGUUGGAAGCUGGGAUGGAGAGCUGGGGAUGGGUGGAAGUAGUGACAGGGUCCGUUUAUUGGUCAUUCAGACUCCCCAGCAGCCUCAGGACUCGACUUCCAUAGGUCAGAGAAGACCUGGUGGAGGGCCUUAUGCAAACCUCAGUGGGUGAUGCAGGAGGGAGUUUUCUGAGCAGGAAUGCCAACAAAAAAGGGCUUCAAAGGAGGGCCCUGCUUGGGACAAUCCUGCCUCUUUAUGGUCUGGUUCACAGGUUCCCCUGGGUGGGGUAAUGGAAUCCAAGCUAAGGUGUCUGACUUCAAAAGUUUUCAGAAAUGCCAUUUUUGUAAGGAUCAGGGAUUGGGUUUUCUGAGAUGCAAAACAUCCUUGUUAAGGGGUUAAAGUAUCCUUAAGCUGUUCAGGUUUCUGGGGAUAGAUAGGCUUAGGAAGUUAGAGCAGGUGAAGUUGAGGGAGAUGGGAACUAAGAAUUAACUCAAAAUAGUCACCAAUGCAGAAACCCAGGCACUUGAGACCCUGACAGUGGGGAAGGCAGAGGAGUAACUGUGGGGACUUGGGCACCCUAUUAGCAGAAUGGGGUAACAGAGAGGGCAAGAAUUGCUUCCCAGGAGACUGGGCUGGGAACAGGAAGGGGACUAAAAUGCUGUCCCUGGCUGAAGAGUGUGGAGGUAUAGAGGAGCUGGUGGCAGGGCUCUGAAUCCAUACACAAGAGCAAGGACCUGUGGUUUCAGGGUGGGAUAGGGCUUUGAUGUCUUCAUGGACUUAGAGUAACAUUCACCACCAUGGUGAAUUCCACAAAGGAGAAUUCACACAAAGGUCUCGGACCAGUCAGUUUCCAUGUGAAAAAGCCAUCUGGGAGCAAGGGAACAAAUCCAGGAAUACAACUGUAUUGGGGGAAAUUCAGCCAGAUAUCAGGCAAAUUUCACCCCCGAUAUUUCACGUAGGUUCUUUUCUAUGUUCCCUAAGUGUCCGCCAGUCUGAGAAAUAAAGGGACAGAGUACAAAAGGGAGAAAUUUUAAAGCUGGGUGUCUGGGGGAGACAUCACAUGUCGGCAGGUUCCGUGAUGCCCCCUGAGCCGUAAAACCAGCAAGUUUUUAUUAGUGAUUUUCAAAAGGGGAGGGAGUAUAUGAAUAGGGUGUGGGUCACAGAAAUCACAUGCUUCACAAGGUAAUAAGAUAUCACAAGGUAAAUGGAGGCAGGGCGAGAUCACAGGACCACAGGACCGGGGCGAAAUUAAAAUUGCUAAUGAAGUUUUGGGCACGCAUUGUCAUUGAUAACAUCUUACCAGGAGACAGGGUUUGAGAGCAGACAACCGGUCUGACCAAAAUUUAUUAGGCGGGAAUUUCCUCAUCCUAAUAAGCCUGGGAGCGCUAUGGGAGACUGGGGCUUAUUUCAUCCCACAGCUACGACCAUAAAAGACGGCUGCCCCCUGAAGCGGCCAUUUCAGAGGCCUACCCUCAGGGACUCAUUCUCUUUCUCAGGGAUGUUCCUUGUUGAGCAAAAUAAUUUAGUGAUAUUUCUCCCAUUUGCUUUUGAAAGAAGAGAAAUAUGGCUCUGUUCUGCCUGGCUCAUCGGCAGUCAGAGUUUAAGGUUAUCUCUCUUGCUCUCUGAACAUUGCUGUUAUCCUGUUCUUUUUUCAAGGUUCCCAGAUUUCAUAUUGUUCAAACACACAUGCUCUACAAACAAUCUGUGCAGUUAACGCAAUCAUCACAGGGUCCUGAGGUGAGAUACAUCCUCCUCAGCUUACAAAGAUGACGGGAUUAAGAGAUUAAAAUAAAGACAGGCAUAGGAAAUCACAAGGGUAUUGAUUGGGGAAGUGAUAAGUGUCCAUGAAAUCUUCACAACUUAUGUUCAGAGAUUGCAGUAAAGACAGGCGUAAGAAAUUAUCAAAGUAUUAAUUUGGGGAACCAAUAAAUGUCCAUGAAAUCUUCACAACUCCACAAUUAUUCUGCCAUGGCUUCAGCCGGCCCCUCCAUUCGGGGUUCCUGACUUCCUGCAACACAACUGGAGGGAAAGGUGGCCUGACAUUAUGGCUAAGUUGAUAUGGAAGCAUUCUGGUUUGUUCUAGAAAAAAUGAAAGAGGUAGUGCAGGUAAUCAUCAGCUCCUGGGUUCUGUAGCAAGACAUUUGCUGCAAUCCCAGGAGGUAGCAACCUAGGCUUUGGUUCUGAAAGAAGAGGGUCUACCUUCCUGAAUCAUCUUUAGGAGUCUGCUGGGGGCCAGGCUUGGUAAGUUGGACUCUGUAUGGAAUUUUUAUUUAAGUGAGGUCUGGGUAGGAAAAGAGAAGGGAAAAGGUGACCUGACCCUGCCUGCACCAAGGGAUUCUGGGAAGGAGAAUAAAGAGAAAAACCCUUCUUCAGGUUUCUGCUUCAGAGCAGGAGAACCAUCACAAGCUAAGUAAAGUUAAUGAAGGGUAAGUGGCCCUAUGGCCACCUGGGCACGCACCUGCCCCUUGGCCACCUUGCAUGGGCAGGCUGAAGAGGUCACUAAGGCUUGGUUUUCCUGACCUGCCCUGAUUCCAUGUGCUGUAAGCAGGACCCAGAAGGCUGUGUGGCUACAGAGGUGCCCAGCAUGGUGGGGGUCACUUCAGUGUGGACACUAGACUGGAUCGCGUGGAACUACAACCAGCUCAGAGCGCCAGCCAGAGUGCUGUUCCGGCCAGAAGGAGGAGCCACGACCCACACUCAGAAGGACAGUGAGCCCCUCUCUGCAGACAGGAGCCAGCCACACCUGGGGUCUGGGGAGGCUCUUCCUGAUUCCAAAUGGAACUGAACUUUAAACCAGACUGGGCAUUUGAGCAAUUUUUUAAAAGCUGUCAACCAAAUAAAGGAAUGCCAUAUUCUUUA